GCUGGGCAUGGUGGUGCAUGUCUGUAAUCCCAGCUACUCAGGAGGCUGAGGCAGGAGAAUUGCUUGAACCCAGGAGGCGGAGGUUGCAGUGAGCCAAGAUCACGCCAUUGCACUCCAGCCUGGGUGACAGAGUGAGACUCUGUCUCAA
rnacentral:SRP_RNA from 1 species